rnacentral:rRNA from 1 species
UGGGGAAUCUUGGGCAAUGGGCGAAAGCCUGACCCAGCCAUGCCGCGUGUGUGAAGAAGGCCUUAGGGUUGUAAAGCACUUUCAGCAGCGAAGAAACGCGACGAGUUAAUACCUCGUUGUUUUGACGUUAACUGCAGAAGAAGCACCGGCUAACUCCGUGCCAGCAGCCGCGGUAAUACGGAGGGUGCGAACGUUAAUCGGAAUUACUGGGCGUAAAGCGCGCGUAGGCGGAUAGGUAAGUGGGAUGUGAAAGCCCCGGGCUCAACCUGGGAACUGCAUUCCAAACUGCCGAUCUAGAGUUUGGUAGAGGGAGGUGGAAUUUCCUGUGUAGCGGUGAAAUGCGUAGAUAUAGGAAGGAACACCAGUGGCGAAGGCGGCCUCCUGGACCAAAACUGACGCUGAGGUGCGAAAGCGUGGGGAGCAAACAGGAUUAGAUACCCCCGUAGUCC